CCUACAUAUAUUCUUUUAAGGGUGUUUGAGAUGGAUUACCCAAUUUCUCUCCAUAAGACUGUACAACAUCACACUCCCACCAGACGUACAGAACAAUGCUCCAUUUUCCCAUGUCCAUUCUAACACUGGGUACCAUUCUUUUCCAUCUUUGCCACUUAGGUAGUCUUUCUUGAUUACUAGGAUGGUUAAUAUUUUCAAAAAUUUGUUUGCCAUUUGUGUUUAUUCUUUUUAUGUUGCUUUUAAAAAGUUCCUUGCUCAUUUUUCUAUAAAGGCAAAUAUUUAUAAUACACAUAUGCUUUACACAUUAUAAAUAUUUUCUUCGGUUUAUUAUGUUGAACAUCAUUUAUGAUAUUUUUAUGUGGAAUUUUUAAACUGUAUCAGGAUAUUUCUUCCUCUUUAUUUUCUGUCUUUGGUAUUAUUUUUAGAGAGUUCUCUUUUUUAUAGAUUAUAGAAAUAUCUGCCUAAAUAUUCACCAAUACGUUUAGGUUUUUAAAAAACUUUGACUUACUUUCAAAUUUUUAAUCUAGCUAGUAUUUACUUUGUUAAACAGUAGGGAUCCAAAUUUUUAUUUUUCCAAAUAGUUAAUCAAAUGUUUCAAUCUUUAUUGAGUAAAUCAUCCUUUAUCCCCCCAACAUAAAAGGCUUUCCCUAGGGAAAACUAAACUACCUUAUGUACAUGGAUCAUUAUUAAAGUCUCAGUUACGCUCUGCUUACCUACAUAUCUAUUACUCUGCCAGUGUCAUCUCUUUAAUUAUUAUCACUUUUAAAUAUUUGUAUAAAAACUGACAUGACAUAUUCUCCCUAAUAUACUUCUUAAAAUUUUCUCAAGGUGGACUUCAGAAUGCUUUUUAUUAAUAUUAGAGUAAAAGCCUAAAUGACAUAAAUCUACAAGAAUUGAAACUUUUAUUUGAAUUGUAUUCUAGUUUUAGAUUGAUGUGCAAAUAUUUGACACUUUCUUUAUUGACUCAGUAUGAUAUGGAUAUUACCCCUCACUAUGCUUUUUAAAAAUUUUUAAAUGAAGCUGCUUUGAUCUUUUCCUGAGAUGGUAUCACACCCUUGAAACUAACUAGGUCAUGAAGCCUCCUGCAAAUGCUAAUCAUUUUGGUGAAGUCACAGAAGCAGCCUUUGCCUCCAACGGGCUUAUGUCCCACUAAAGAUCAUUAAGGCUGCAUUAAAUUGGUAUGGAGUGGUGUAAAACAGAAAUAAAACUCUGUAAGUUAUCACUGUGAGUACACUGCUCUGUGCUUAUGUUCUGUGAGGCUGGCUGGAAUGACAAGUGACAGUGGGGACAGAAUGGGAUUGGUCCGGAAGGGUCCAGGAGGGGUGGAAGGCUGUGUGGGGGGCAGGAGCAGAAAGCAUAUUAUGAGGCAGGUUCCCAUGUGUUCUAGGCUAGCAAAGGUAACUGCAUGCAUGAUCAUUUUUUUUAAGGGAAAUCAGAUAGAAGGGAACCAAUUGUUAGAAACCCUUUCAACAUGGAUCAGCAAUGCAGAUUUCAUGUGAGCAAAAAUUCAGACCGGCGAUAAUUUCUGAAAAUGAGCUUGAAAAAUCAAAAUGGUGCUUCAAGGAAGAUAAUUCUUGCUGCAAUAAGCGCACGAGUUUGGAUAAACGGUAAUUAAUUAAAUAGUCCAUUCAGGGAAUUGCUGCAACAAUUUAUUUUCAAAUUUAAUUUACUCGAUAACUUUUACAGAAUAUUACCCAUUGAGUGCCUAGCACUGUGUCGGCGUUAAAAUGACUUUGUUUGCAGCCCCCGAUCUAUUUUUACAGGGCCUUUGUGACAGAUGUCUAAUGACACCACUUACAAAGAGGGAGACAUUCCCCAGGUACUUCUGUACUUUGUUCAACAGAAAUUUAACUGCCCAAGUGGAUGUGUGAUUGAUGUUAUUCAAUGAUUAAUGCAGCAAACUCCCUACUUUACCCUCUGCAGCAGAAAUCUCCGUUUAACCCCUUGGGAUAUGUAAGUGCCUCGUUUCUUAAGGAACGACAGCGAGAUGAGGAGGAAGGGAGGGCUACGGAAAGCAAUCAGGAAGGGGGCAGUCUGAUCCCUCCUCCUUAUUGGAAAGCAGCUCCCACCCAGGCUCUGCCUACCCACAGAAACUUGAACCUACAAAGGAGUUUGCAAGAAAACUUGAUCAAACAGGGAAAGGAGAGGAAUAAAUAAAAUAGCUAUUAGAAUAACCUAUUUCUCUUCUGUUUUUUUUUUCCAGUUCAUCGAGUCAACUAACAGGAACAUCUCCCUGAAAUAACUAUUUCAAAGCAUAUCACAGUUGCUUUUUAAGCUGCUCUCCUGUAGCAUGAAUAUAUUCUUUCAACAUACAACUGAAUGUAUAUGGUGUAUAUUUGCUUCAUUUUCCGCCUUUACUCCCUCUCCACUUUCCCUUACUCGUAAUUAAUAGCUGCUAAGUGAGACGGUCUGAGAGGAGGUGACAAAGUAAGCACAGGUUCUUUAUAAAAGCACAUUUAAUUUUUGCUUUUCAAGCCUCAUUGUCCCUCAGACAUGGGUGCACACGUCUCUAAGCGUCUUCCGACUUCAGAGGCACCUUUGUCUGUUUAGUCAACUCGCAAAGCAGAGCCUUUCCACCAGGAGCGACUCGAGGGAGAACAGAGAACCAGGGACGGAAGACACGCCUUAUCUUGCUCCUGGUGUUGGAAAAAGCCUACAAGUUGUGGUUCCCAAAACAUUUAGGGACAAUUAAAACAAAUUAUUUAAUAUACAUAAAAAUGAAUUUCACCAUUAGAUGCACGUUUUUAUAAGAACAAUAUAUCUUCAUGGCAACAAA